rnacentral:rRNA from 1 species
UACAGAGGGUGCAAGCGUUAAUCGGAGUUACUGGGCGUAAAGGGCGCGUAGGCGGUUUGUUAAGUGAGUUGUGAAAGCCCUGGGCUUAACCUGGGAAUGGCAACUUAAACUGGCGAGCUAGAGUACUGUAGAGGGUAGUGGAAUUUCCGGUGUAGGCGGUGAAAUGCGUAGAGAUCGGAAGGAACACCAGUGGCGAAGGCGGCUACCUGGACAGAUACUGACGCUGAGGCGCGAGAGCGUGGGGAGCAAACAGG